rnacentral:rRNA from 1 species
GCGGAGGAAAAGAAACCAACCGGGAUUGCCUUAGUAACGGCGAGUGAAGCGGCAAAAGCUCAAAUUUGAAAUCUGGUACCUUCGGUGCCCGAGUUGUAAUUUGGAGAGGGCAACUUUGGGGCCGUUCCUUGUCUAUGUUCCUUGGAACAGGACGUCAUAGAGGGUGAGAAUCCCGUGUGGCGAGGAGUGCGGUUCUUUGUAAAGUGCCUUCGAAGAGUCGAGUUGUUUGGGAAUGCAGCUCUAAGUGGGUGGUAAAUUCCAUCUAAAGCUAAAUAUUGGCGAGAGACCGAUAGCGAACAAGUACAGUGAUGGAAAGAUGAAAAGAACUUUGAAAAGAGAGUGAAAAAGUACGUGAAAUUGUUGAAAGGGAAGGGCAUUUGAUCAGACAUGGUGUUUUGUGCCCUCUGCUCCUUGUGGGUAGGGGAAUCUCGCAUUUCACUGGGCCAGCAUCAGUUUUGGUGGCAGGAUAAAUCCAUAGGAAUGUAGCUUGCCUCGGUAAGUAUUAUAGCCUGUGGGAAUACUGCCAGCUGGGACUGAGGACUGCGACGUAAGUCAAGGAU